AGGACCGUUUGUGUGAGGUUGUGUUGUUAACACACCCUGUUUGUGAAGGUAGAGGUAUAUUGAAACAUUCUGUAUUAUGUGACUUGAAUAACAUAAGUUUAUGUUUAGACACAUCCUGUAUAACUACUUGUACAACAGCCUAACACCCUGUGUGUAGUUUGUUUAUGUUAAAACACCCUGUUUACAAAGUUAGAGGUGUUUAGAAACAUCCUGUAUUAUGACUUGAGCAACACCCUGUGUUACAUAAUCUUGUAUUUAGACACACCCUCUAUAAUAAUUUGUACAACAGCUUAACACCCUGUGUGUAAGGUUAGAGUGUUUUAGAAACAUCCUGUUUUAUGAAUUAAACAUAACAUUAUGUAUUCUAGUUUUAUCUAGAAUCACUGUAUAAUGACUUGAACAACCCUUAGUAUGAGUUUUUUUAUUUAUAUUUUAACAAUCUUUAGUAUGGUUGGUUAAUUCGAGCCGGCCAAUCAGAGCACCGAACGCGCUCUCGUUUCGAUUACUUUAAACGUAAAGCAAACUCGUACUAAGCUACUGUAUACUUUUGAAGACAACUGAAAAUGUAUUCCAAUAAUAUAAGUACCUAUUAGAGCUUUUCUCCGUUAAUGUACCAGUGAGUAAACCGUGAUUUCUAGUGUAAUUUAGUAUGUCUCACGAUAGUUAUUAUAAAAAUAUUUUCCAAGAAUUCUUUUAUAAGUUAUUAUUAAUUCGCCUUUUUGAAUAAUCUAAAGACUUUAUAUUAUUAGAUUAAGCAUAAUUUUUAAUAUAAUACUAACUGAUGCCCGCGGCUUCGCUCGCUUGGAUUUGCGGACUUUGUGACUAAUAAAAGUAACCUAAGUUACUCCUUGGUACAUCAGCUACCUGCCAAUAAAAGAGUCCCAUCAAAAUCGGGCUAGCCUUUUCAGAGAUUAGCCAGAACAAACAGAAAGACAGACAAAAAUUAUAAAAAUUAAAUUUAUUUAUGUAUUUAAUUCAAAAGUUACAACGGUAGACCACCAACUAAAGCAACUUACAUACAUAAGUAAAACAUAAUUAAACAGGAAUUAACAGCAUUCAUAAGUUCGCCUCGCAGUACUUCAGGCUUCGACAAAAUAUUUUGGUGAUUGUAUAUUCAUAUGCAUGUAAUAAAAUAAAGAGUUGUUAAUUUUAUAUAACAAACAGACAAUUUUAUUUAUUAGUCUAUUACUUUACUAAUAUAUAAAUGCGAAAGUUUGUAUGUAUGUUUGUUACUCAAUCACGUCAAAACGGCUGAAGAAAUUGGGAUGAAAUUUGGAACAGGGGUAGAUUAUGGUCUGGAAUAACACUUAGGAUACUUUUUAUCCCACAGGAAAGCGGACGAAGCCACUGGCAGAAGCUAGUAUUCGAUAUUAUUUGAGAUUUGUCUCUCAGCAAAAUAUUUUUGGUUAAAAUUCUAUUUAGAAUUAAUUCUCACAUAAGUAUUAGAAAUAUAUUAUUUGGCUAUGUAUAAUGUAAUUUAUUAAAAUCAUGAAUUUUUGUAUCGUCAUGAGCUAAUGGUAACAUGUAAACAGUGACUCGUGUAGUGUAGAGAUUGUCCAGUCAACUGAUGGUAGCGUGGACUGUCCAGGCGAUGUAUGCAAGAAUAUUAUAAGAAUUAUGUAAUCUUUUUAUUAUAAUUAUAAAUAAAGUAUACAAACCUUGAAAA